GCACAUUAUGGCAGAUCUUUUAGAGGUUUACAUUAUGAGGUACUCAGAUAUUUUACCUAUCUGAGAUUAUUAUGCAUAUAAAAGGAAGUGGUAUACUAAGAUUUACUAAUACUAAGCCUCAGGAUGAACUCAUUUGUGUCAGUACUAUAACUAUCCCUGGCUUAUUUUUAGAUGUGGGGUUCUCUUUUGCUUUAAAAAUGUGUGCAUCAGCCUUCGCUGGUGUGGUACAGUGGUUUGGGCAUCAUCCCAUGCACCAAAAAGUUGCAGUUGAUUUCUCGUCUACUCACACUGGGUCGUUAUUUUUAUACUGUUACAUUCUCUGUAUCACGGGGGUUGACCGAUCCUUAUAUUCAUCACACUCUUCACAGUGGAUGAAUAAAGUAGUUGUUCAUAAGGAAACAGGAUCAUUGCCAAAAUAUAUCCUACUAAAACAACCAGUGAUCUUUUGAAGCCUACUUUUCUGACUUUUGCAAGUGGGAUAUAAAACAGGUCAUAACAUUGCCUAGCACGUAAGUAAAAUUUCAGUUGUAUUUCAUCAGAAAUCUGUUUAGGUCUGCUUUUUAUAAAAAUAAAAUAAACUUCUGCAUACUCCCAAUUGUAAACCUAUUUUGCCCCACCCUGUACAUAAACUAUAUCAUUUACAAUAAAGGUGAUACAUAUGUCAUGUCUUUUGCAAAAUAUAAAAUAAAUCUAAUUUCUAACUAAAA